rnacentral:piRNA from 1 species
UGAAUGGUGGAUCUUGCACAGAUAGGC